CAAUAUAUUAACGGUGGUGAAAACAGCACGUGGCCAUACAAGUUCAGAAACUAAAUCCGUUUUAAUAUUUAAUAUUUUUACGAUAUAAACACAAUGAACGCCGUACUUGUUUUGGCUGUUAUUUCUACGGUGGCAGUAAUGAUAACAGCCGAGGAGUGCCGCAUGACGUCAGAUUGCUCCCACGUGACGUGUGCUGAAAACAAUUACGCAGUAGAGUGUCACAAUCGGGUGUGUACAUGCAAUAAAGCGGAGACCCACUGCUUAUCACAGGCUGAGUGCGCAACUUCCGGUUGUCAGCGGGAUUGGCACUGCGUUGACAACGUGUGCCGCUGCGGACUUCCGAUUCCGAUCGGAGGCUUCAUCGGAAAAUAGACGCCACCAACCCUACCCCCGGGCAGAGCAAGUUCUCGCGUCCAACCCCGCCACCCCCACCACCCGAUUCACCGCAAGCCCAACCCCUACACACACCUAAAGAAAACACAUAAAUAAUAUUAGCCGCGCUCUGUGAAAAUGGGGCUAAAUGCAUGGACAGGCUAGUCAGGGACGACGCUUUACGCACAUUUAUGUAGCAUCUUUUUUUCCCAUUUUGCGACUCGUUUAUAUUCAAAUUAAGAAUUAGGUUGGAGAGGCGUUUAGCCUACUUUAUAACCCGACUUUUCGACUCAUCUCAUAUUUUUUCAUAUUGUUUAAAUGUUUAAUCAUUAUAUAUGGGAUUAUUUACGCAGUUUA